rnacentral:tRNA from 1 species
GGCGGCUCAGUGGGAGAGCGCCUGCCUCGCAUGCAGGAGGCCCUGGGUUCCAUUCCUCAGCACCA